rnacentral:rRNA from 1 species
UACAGAGGUCCCGAGCGUUGUUCGGAUUCACUGGGCGUAAAGGGCGCGUAGGUGGUGGAGUAAGUUUGAUGUGAAAUCUCCGGGCUUAACCCGGAAACUGCAUUGAAUACUAUUCCGCUGGAGGUUUGGAGGGGGGACUGGAAUUCCCGGUGUAGCGGUGAAAUGCGUAGAGAUCGGGAAGAACAUCGGUGGCGAAAGCGCUCUACUGGACGGUAUCUGACACUGAGGCACGAAAGCGUGGGGAGCAAACAGG